rnacentral:rRNA from 2 species
UACGUAGGGUGCAAGCGUUGUCCGGAAUUAUUGGGCGUAAAGAGCUCGUAGGCGGUUGGUCGCGUCGGCUGUGAAAACCCGGAGCUCAACUCCGGGCCUGCAGUCGAUACGGGCCGACUUGAGUGUUGCAGGGGAGACUGGAAUUCCUGGUGUAGCGGUGAAAUGCGCAGAUAUCAGGAGGAACACCGGUGGCGAAGGCGGGUCUCUGGGCAACAACUGACGCUGAGGAGCGAAAGCGUGGGGAGCGAACAGG